UUUUUUUUUUUUUUUUUUUCAUUUCUCUCAGGUACAGCUGCAGACAUUUUCAGGCUGAUUUCAAGUCAUCCCACAGUCCUAGUAGACUUUAUGGAAGCUUUAGCUAAAUUGGUACAGCUGUAUUCAGAGUUAAAUCCACACUAUUAUGGGAAAACACGUAACAGAAAAUAAAGAGCAUUAGAUUGAACCUCUCCUAGCAGUCCUCACAGUCUACACCUGUUUAAAAUUAUGAUAGCACCUACUUUUGUGGAGCUGAGGUCUACCAAGACGUCUGCCUGCUUAGCCUCACAGAGAGCUAUAAUGGACACAUGUGACAUAAAGAUUUUGUUUGCCUAGUGGUGAAGUGAAUACUGUUGAGCAAAAAUAACUGCUUUCUUUAGAUUACAGCAUGAAGCAGUUUAUCUCUGUUCACUGUAGCUGAGCUUGUAUAAAAUGUAAGUUUUACAUGCUUAGUCUCUCUUCAUGCCUGAAACACCUUUGGAAAGAAAGGAAUUCAUGGUAUCAUAAAAGCUGUAGUUUGAAUAACUGUCAGAAGUCAAAUUACAAAUCACUGUUAGCAGGAAGGCAUACCUGAUGCAGAUGAAUUACAUGGGCAGAGAGCUGAAAUAAGCCAACUGAAGGUAUUAACAGAAGCCUCCAUAUAUAGAAGUUGUUGGAAAUAAACAACGACCAAAAAAAAAAAAAAAAACAAAAAAAACAAACCAAACAAAAAAAAAACUUAGAUUAAUAAAAAAUGAAAUACAUAAUUCUGAUGAAUUGUACAUGAUUUUUUUCUCUUCCUUAUUUACCUCCUUUCCCCAUCAUCAAGCACCUCGGUAAGCCCUACAUUGUGUGGUGGACACGCCCUAAGUUCCCAGCAGGCAUCUUUACAGAAGGACAAAGGUGCUGCACCACUGAAUGUUGUAUCCCUGUGUUUUUGGUGUCUAGUUUAGUAAUGGAGCUAGGUUUGUAACCUUGGCCUUCCCUUCAGUGUUUCAGAUGAGUUGCAUGUCCAUAAGGAUAUUAGCUCAUUUACUUGGUAUGGAGCUAUGUAAGCAAGAAACAGGAAAAAACAAGUUCCAGGAUUUGUCUGCUCCUUUUAGGUGGUGGUUUUCAGUUUUUUAUUCGGCUUCUAAGAAACUAUCUGGCGUUCUGUCAUGGUUUUAUGAUGUUUGGUUAUUGGUAUUCCACAUCAUAACAUCAUGUAGUGCACUGAGAGUUAAAGAGUUAAUGUUCCAGGUCUGGGUACCUGUCCCAGAACAGAAGAAUUACUACAUCCCCCAGAGGACUAUUUGCUGUUCUGUUAUAAUUUCUGCUCAGGGGGAAAAGAUAAAAGGCCUUCGAAGGUCACCUGAUAGCCCUUUUGAUUGUCUGGCUCGUCUCUGUUGUGGGUGCCGUCUUGUCACAGCAUUAGAGUAAGGCCUUUGGCUUUCAGACACUCUUUUGUUAUAUUUAUUAGCUUCAAUUCUAAUUAUAUGUAUUAUAUUGUAUUAUAGUAUGUUAUCUUGCAUUCCGAUAUCUUAUUUAGUAAAUUAGUUUGUUUCCCCUUGGAUCAUUGCUGCUGUUCUGUCUUUAGGCCCAUCUAUCUACCCUUUUCCCUUUUUUUCCCUUUCUUCCCUCUCCUGGGACAUGGAUCCAUGGGUCUCUCCACUCCGCUAGUCAUGGAACUUGGCCGAACCAACCUGUUGACGUUCUUGGUAGAGAAUGCCUUGACAGUUUCCUAACCCCUUUUUAUAAAACACUCCUAAUGCAGAUCAACAUUCUUUUUUAUUUUAAAAAUUAGCCACAUUUAAAAGUACCUGUUUAUUCAACCAGAUAUUAUCAACUACUGUUACAGCAUUGUGGUAUAAAACAGCACUGAAACUCAUUCUUUGCUUGCAUAGAAAACUUUGUGUAGAAAACUGUGUAGAAAAGACUGGCAGUGCUUUAGCUGAAACACAGGAGCAGAAGGAUCAGUAGAGGAUGGCUCUUGGGAAAGAGGCUCGGGAAGGAAGGGGAAAGAAAUGUAACAAGUGAGUCAAGUGAGACUCUCGGAGGGACAAGAAUCUCUUCCUAGAAUCAGCGCCCACUUUUAACCAUCAGCACUCCUCAAAACCUAUGUGUUAUGUGACUCAAAACAAUCUUCAAAUUGAUUGUCAAAAUACAUAUGCCCUAAAAAUAAUAUUAAUUUUCAAAUUGUAUCAAAAAUGAGCUUCCCCUCACACCAUUAGGCUGAGCAGCACAGACACUAAGCUGUGCUGACCCUCUUCAGAGCAGGGUUGCAUCCAUCCCUCCUGCCAUACUGAGGUCACAGAGCCUGGUGAGUAAUACCUGGCACUAGCAAGAUCAGUUUGUCCUCCCUAGCUGCAAAGACACUUUGCAAAAUGUCCAUGAGCUUGGGAAGCAUCACCAUUCUCAUUUUGCAGCUGGAGGAACAGAUGCAGAAAGGUUAAGCACUUUAUCUUAGAGGAAGUAGGUAGCAGGGUUAAGAAGCUAGUUCAAUGAAGCCUAGGUUUCAGGACUUUGAGCUAAGCAACACUCGUUCUGAAGAUGUCUUGGUAUUCACAUUUGCUUUUUUGUAUAACAGGUAAUUUCAACUAUAUGAAAAGAGAAACAGUAUAGAACUGUGAGAAAGUUGAUUAUAUAAAUAGGGCUAUAUUCAUUGAGAAAAUAGAGGGUGCUUAUUGCUGAGAGGAAGAGAAUACUCUUCUUAAGUAAGCUGGGAGUGUGAAUACUAUUAAUUCUGACUUCUGCAAACAGAUCUUGUUAGGUUGGCAACUGACACAAGCAACCUUCUGCUGCAUCUUCAGAUAUGGGUUUUGUUUGCUCAGGACUGUCUUCCAUGCAUUCAUGUUUUAAAGCAUAUAAUUUCCUGAAAAAAUAGCUUUGUUAAAUUUAGACUAUGUCAGAUUGCUCAAGGCAGGAAAAGUAUUUCUUUGCAUAAUAAAAGUUCCUGAAUAGUGACAAGACAGUUUAAGACUUAAAACUUACACUGUCUUGAGAUUCCUCUUAUGUUUACCAGUUUUGCUCUGGAUAAAACGGAUGCUGCUGCUCA
ensembl:lncRNA